GCCGAAUUAGCUCAGUUGGUAGAGCAACGCAUUCGUAACGCGUAGGUCUGGGGUUCGAGUCCCCAACUCGGCUCAA
rnacentral:tRNA from 1 species